rnacentral:rRNA from 1 species
AUUGAACGCUGGCGGUAUGCCUUACACAUGCAAGUCGAACGGUAGAGGGGCAACCCUUGAGAGUGGCGAACGGGUGAGUAAUACAUCGGAACGUGCCCAGUCGUGGGGGAUAACGUAGCGAAAGCUACGCUAAUACCGCAUACGACCUGAGGGUGAAAGCGGGGGAUCGCAAGACCUCGCGCGAGUGGAGCGGCCGAUGGCAGAUUAGGUAGUUGGUGGGGUAAAGGCCUACCAAGCCUGCGAUCUGUAGCUGGUCUGAGAGGACGACCAGCCACACUGGGACUGAGACACGGCCCAGACUCCUACGGGAGGCAGCAGUGGGGAAUUUUGGACAAUGGGCGAAAGCCUGAUCCAGCCAUACCGCGUGCGGGAAGAAGGCCUUCGGGUUGUAAACCGCUUUUGUCAGGGAAGAAAUCUUCUGGGUUAAUACCUCGGGAGGAUGACGGUACCUGAAGAAUAAGCACCGGCUAACUACGUGCCAGCCGCCGCCGUAACAC